AGUGAAUAGAUACCCAGGUAGUCCACGCCGUAAACGAUGAGUGCUAAGUGUUAGGGGGUUUCCGCCCCUUAGUGCUGCAGCUAAACGCAUUAAGCACUCCGCCUGGGGAGUACGGUCGCAAGACUGAAACUCAAAGGAAUUGACGGGGGCCCGCACAAGCGGUGGAGCAUGUGGUUUAAUUCGAAGCAACGCGAAGAACCUUACCANGGUCUUGACAUCCCGUUGACCACUGUAGAGAUAUGGUUUUCCCUUCGGGGACAACGGUGACAGGUGGUGCAUGGUUGUCGUCAGCUCGUGUCGUGAGAUGUUGGGUUAAGUCCCGCAACGAGCGCAACCCUUGAUCUUAGCUGCCAUCAUUUAGUUGGGCACUCUAAGGUGACUGCCGGUGACAAACCGGAGGAAGGUGGGGAUGACGUCAAAUCAUCAUGCCCCUUAUGACCUGGGCUACACACGUGCUACAAUGGACGAUACAAACGGUUGCCAACUCGCGAGAGGGAGCUAAUCC
rnacentral:rRNA from 1 species